UAAGGAGUAGGCCUCAACGCGUUAAGUGCCGGUGGAACGGAAUGUGAACACCGGACGAAAUCUUUUGAUGCGAUGUUGGGACCGCAUUCGCCUGA
rnacentral:ncRNA from 2 species